UAUUAGUGUAUACAUUUUGGGGGAUACCUUAUAUGUAGCCAAAUUGAAUAAAGAUUACCAAUAGAUUUCCGUCAGUUUUAUUCAGAUCCUUAAAUGCUUUGAUUUCAAAUUGAGUGAAAAACCUAUUCUGGAUUGUCUCGUAGGCAAAAUGGAGGAAUGUGUUAAUGUAUUGGGGAAUAUAUGAUAGACUGCAAUUCUAUUAAAAAUGCAAAGCCAUGCCCAGUGUUUUGACUAGUGAUAGGAAGACUUAUCUUUUAGACUUCUGCCUUCUGUGCCAGUUUGUCCAUUUCGGUCUGGGAAGGCUGUGAGUCUUAGUAUAGCUUAGCUUUAGCUGCCUGACCCUCCUCCUGGCUCCCAAUUGCUCAUUUCCUCCUUGUUGCCUUCCACUUCCUCCCAUCCAUUUACUUGUAUCCAGUCACUGGUCAGAUUAAGCAGCCGUUCUCAGUGCUCCAUGUUUGUCUGGUGUAGGUUCUUCACCGGCUUAUUAAAUGACUACCAAAACCACUCUUUUCCUGAUCCCCUCACAGGCUGUUCAUUGUGAUUAUUCCCCUGUGUUUAGAGUACACCCCCCAGAGGUUAUUUAACAGAGCACCUGUUAAGGUGCUCUGGGCCCAGCAAUUAUGGCUCUUUUCCCUUCCAAGCUAGUAGGCCAUCCUCCUGUCUUCAAGAAAGACCCCCUGCUCCCUGUUGGGCCUCUGUUUGGGGCUGUCAGGAACUUUUCUUAAGUUGUUUGAGAAUACAAGUCCGCCUGAAGUGAAGAAAAACAGCAUGGUGGGAAUGACUCUGCAUAAAAAGGCGGCUGAAGAUAGACUUGCUAGUACAGGUUCAGGGCAGUCAUUUCUGGCUAGGCAACGACAAGCAACCAGCACGAGAAGAUCUUACCCAGGCCAUGUUCAACCAGCCACAGCAAGGUAGACAAGUCUUGCCAGUAGAAUAAAAACAUCCUGCAUUCAAAACAUACUUCUGUUACACAUAACACCAUUUCAGGAAAUUCAGCCAGCUUAUUUUUUGUCUCUAUGUUAUGUUAAUAUUUAGUUGUUUCUCAUUUGAGGACUGUCUCUCCGUUAUCUAUGAUGUUUUAGUUUCUUGGUCCUUUAUUUUGUAGUCUUUUCAGUUCCUUUUCAUGUGCCAAAAAUUUUUCAAUGCCCAAUUAAAAGUGUUGGAUAAUAGUAUAGUACUUUUCUUUGUAUGAAAAUGUCCUUUCCCCAAUGGUGUAUGUAGGCUUUGUAAUGAAUUAGAUUUUCUGCCAAUAAUUGAUAUACAAGAAUUAUAUUCUU